CAGUCGCCGCGGUAAUACAGAGGGUGCGAGCGUUAAUCGGAUUUACUGGGCGUAAAGCGUGCGUAGGCGGCUUUUUAAGUCGGAUGUGAAUCCCUGAGCUUAACUUAGGAAUUGCAUUCGAUACUGGGAAGCUAGAGUAUGGGAGAGGAUGGUAGAAUUCCAGGUGUAGCGGUGAAAUGCGUAGAGAUCUGGAGGAAUACCGAUGGCGAAGGCAGCCAUCUGGCCUAAUACUGACGCUGAGGUACGAAGGCAUGGGGAGCAAACAGGAUUAGAGACCCCCGUAGUCCCUGUCUCUUAUACC
rnacentral:rRNA from 1 species